GAUGAACGCUGGCGGCGUGCUUAACACAUGCAAGUCGAACGAAGCAUUUGCGACAGAUUUUUUCGGAAUGAAGUUGCUUAUGACUGAGUGGCGGACGGGUGAGUAACGCGUGGGUAACCUGCCUUGUACUGGGGGAUAGCAGCUGGAAACGGCUGGUAAUACCGCAUAAGCGCACAAUGUUGCAUGACAUGGUGUGAAAAACUCCGGUGGUAUAAGAUGGACCCGCGUCUGAUUAGCUAGUUGGUGAGAUAACAGCCCACCGAGGCGACGAUCAGUAGCCGACCUGAGAGGGUGACCGGCCACAUUGGGACUGAGACACGGCCCAGACUCCUACGGGAGGCAGCAGUGGGGAAUAUUGCACAAUGGAGGAAACUCUGAUGCAGCGGCGCCGCGUGAGUGAAGAAGUAAUUCGUUAUGUAAAGCUCUAUCAGCAGGGAAGAUAGUGACGGUACCUGACUAAGAAGCGCCGGCUAAAUACGUG
rnacentral:rRNA from 1 species